rnacentral:rRNA from 1 species
AUUGAACGCUGGCGGCAGGCCUAACACAUGCAAGUCGAACGAGUGGCGGACGGGUGAGUAAUGUCUGGGAAACUGCCCGAUGGAGGGGGAUAACUACUGGAAACGGUAGCUAAUACCGCAUCCCAUCGGAUGUGCCCAGAUGGGAUUAGCUAGUAGGUGGGGUAACGGCUCACCUAGGCGACGAUCCCUAGCUGGUCUGAGAGGAUGACAAGCCACACCGGAACUGAGACACGGUCCAGACCCGUACGGGAGGCAGCAGGGGGGAAUAUUGAACAAUGGGCGAAAGCAUGAUGCAGCCAUGACGCGUGUAUGAAGAAGGAAUUCGGGUUGUAAAGUACUUUCAGCGGGGAGGCGUUACUCGAAGAAGAAGCACCGGCUAACUCCGUGCCAGAAGCCGCGGUAAUUC